rnacentral:rRNA from 1 species
GACGAACGCUGGCGGCGUGCCUAAUACAUGCAAGUAGAACGCUGAAGGAGGAGCUUGCUUCUCCGGAUGAGUUGCGAACGGGUGAGUAACGCGUAGGUAACCUGCCUGGUAGCGGGGGAUAACUAUUGGAAACGAUAGCUAAUACCGCAUAACAGUAGAUAUCGCAUGAUAUCUGCUUGAAAGGUGCAAUUGCAUCACUGCCAGAUGGACCUGCGUUGUAUUAGCUAGUUGGUGAGGUAACGGCUCACCAAGGCGACGAUACAUAGCCGACCUGAGAGGGUGAUCGGCCACACUGGGACUGAGACACGGCCCAGACUCCUACGGGAGGCAGCAGUAGGGAAUCUUCGGCAAUGGACGGAAGUCUGACCGAGCAACGCCGCGUGAGUGCAGAAGGUUUUCGGAUCGUAAAGCUCUGUUGUAAGAGAAGAACGGGUGUGAGAGUGGAAAGUUCACACUGUGACGGUAUCUUACCAGAAAGGGACGGCUAACUACGUG